UAUAUUUCAAAAAAAAAAAAAAAGAUAAAAAUUGAUUGAUUGCAAACAGUGACUGUAAUAUUUCUUGAGCAUCGCCGAAAAAGAUUGUCAUAGUGCUGAAGGUGCAGGGACAAUUUCUUUGUCAUCUACCUUUGUAUAUGAGUUUUUUUUUUGUUAAUGCCUCGAAAUCUGAAAAAAUCCAUCAAUUGUACCUGAGUAGCUUCUGUUUUUUAACAAACACAUAAUUCACAGUUACUAUUUAGCGUAACCAAAUUGAAUUGUUCAGACUGACCAACAGGUUGUAAACUAUGGAUGUGUAUUUAGUUUAUUAUUCACUUAAAAACUCAUUUAUAUUGAAAUGUUUUAUAUGCAAGCAUCAUUAGAUGGCCCAGGGGGUAAACUGUGUUUUCAAUGCUGAUAUUUCUACUCUGGAGCAUUGCUGAUAGGUCGUAUUUCAGAUUCUGAGAUAUUGUAGCUACCAUGAGUCAUCCUCAUGAAUACUUUCUUUUGCAAGAGUUAGUGGCAGUUUAGUUUACAUAAUAUAUGGAACAAGUGUGCAUAUUCUACAUUAUCAAAAAGCUGUCACGUUUUAGUGCCAAUCAAUAAUAAUAUUUAAAUAAGAAAACAGACGGAAAAUCUAUUUUGGAGAAUACGCCUUUGUUAAAACAUAACAAAACACCUAAAGAACGAAACUUCUGUAAAGAGGGGACUACUGCGACAUUGAGUAAUAAAUAUUUGACCAAUAUUCUAAUUAUAUGUAUCAAUUUAACACUUGUUUCUAAAGAUCUAUAUUAUUAGUUGAAUUUAUCAUCUAUAGCAACUGUUGGGACGACUAUGACCCAAAAUGAAAACCGUUAUACGUCUUCAUUCAGAAUAGAAACUGUUAUAUAAUGAAUCAAUCGCCUCAAAACUUCAUGAUACAAAUAAAAAAGUUAUAUGUGAAAUUUAAUCCCUUAAUCACUUCUUAAGUGGAUGGUCAUAGGUUCGAUCCCAGCCCCGGCACUUCCCCUAGAAAGUCUGGCACUGUCACUUUUCUGAGCUAAAAUGGACCCCGAUAAUUGGAUAUCGAUGAACGGCAACUCAGAAUGGCACAUAGGCAACCAGUUCGAUAUAGUAGAAUUAUAAUAUAAUACAUUUAGGCACUGUAGAAAGUAUAAUUGCAGCUGACAAAUUGUAAUCGCCCACGUAGUGCCCAAGUGGACAAUAGAGCUGUAAAUUAGGUUAAGUGAUUAAUAAUAAAAGAAUCCGAAAGUUCGACCCAGUAGUUUCUCAGUAGCUUCCAAUCGAAGAAUGACAAUGUGGUUACAUACAAAAAUAUUUUUUAUAUAAACAAAUCAUCUCCUUGGGGAUGGGGAUGAGGUUUCAGAAAAUAUUAAAAGUUGACCCAAGUAAUAAAUGGAUGGCCCUUAAGGACAAAAACUACGAAUGGUAAGAGGUCCGAUACGUCACAUUUUAUGAACUCUAGACAUCUAUCAAACCGUGAGUAUUGUGUUGUUCUUUGCUGUACAUGUAUCACUCCUGUAAGGAGUGGGUAUGGCAGCAUAAUUGAUCGCGUUCGCAAUUGUCUCGCGUGAAAAUCAAAACAAUGGAUGCGCGGGUGUUUAGUGUUCAGUAUUGUGUUGUUUCUUGCAGAGUAGAACAUUAAUCAAGACAAUUAGAUGAUUGGCAUUGAACCACAAACACCACACAACAAUUGGUGAGCUCUUUCCAAUAUUAUUUAUUUAUAAAUACUUCUACUUCAGUACAUAUUUGCUAUAUAACUCGCUAUUUUCAACAUCCUUUCAUCUAUUGGAAGAUGCUUCAGUUCUGGGCUCUUUCUAAGUUGAUGAAGGGAUUUAUAAAUGCUUGCAAGGACUUGGCCAGGUGUGUGGAGCUGAGUGAAUCUAUGACAUUGUAGAUAGUAGCGACAUCAGCAAUGUCAAUGGAUAUAUUCAACUUUGCAACUCCAUCCAAGAUUUGUGCAAGUAUUCAUGCUAUGCUAUGCUAUGCUCUAGACAUCUAUCAAACCGUUCAUUUUUAAAGGUUUACGGGGUAUAUGAAUCAAGGUCCAUUUAUAUCACCAAGCGCAAGCGCUUGGACUCGGGGUUUCCAAGGGAUUAAGGCGAUUAGAUAAACUAUUACAGUCGGUCGAUUCAUGAACAAACAAUGCUUGCUCCACCAGAGGCUCCUGCUUGUUCCAGCAGUCCCUGUCCCUGGGAUGAAUCAUUUCGGGGCUUUUACGACCGUCACGAUCCUGUAAUACGAUAUGUCCUUGCUCUCGCAUGCCGGUGCGGAUUUACGCUGGGAUUGAACGGUGGCGGUGGCGAUGGCAUAGAAAACGAAAGUAAACGACAAAAGUGUAGGUACGCAGCAGGUUUAGGAUCCGAGCGAUCCACCAACACGUUGUCGCUGUUCAAAACAAACAUUGCGUGCAUCUCACACCUUUUCGUCGGUGGGACACAAAGCUCAUGGGGGCAGGUGCCGUACCUACCAAUCCAGGGGAGGGAAAAGCGAUUUCCAUCAAUUGGAAACGAUAGCCGCUUUAGCAUUAGCUGCCGUCGUCGUCAUCGUCGCGUCGCUGACCUCGCCGGAGCGUGUAGGGUACCUACGCGCACAUGUGUUCCCUUUAGGAAAUUUAUGCCCUACUCUCCGCUCCGGUUAGGCUGAAAAUCCGUGCUUCGAACACGGCGGACACGUCCCAGUAACAACCCAGUUCGGAUGGGUCACGGUUAGCGCGGAAGCUCGCAAUCCGCGGAAUCCUAUAGCGCUCCUAUGCGGCGGGUAGAAGUGACAGGGAGGCACGGCACGGGGCGGUGGUGGCGCCUAAAUUUACAUCCCGUUGCAGAUAGAUUGAACAACACAGUCGGAACAACACGCACACACAAAUAUCCAAUCGAAUCGGAUGUUGCUGAUGGGCUCGGGUGUCCGACACGGGGAACCAGGCGCACAUGCAGACGCAUAAUCCGUUAAAUACAUAUAAACACCAUCCGUGCUAAGCGCGCCAGGACGGAUUAAAAUCCGUGAACAGCUAGCAUCAGCCAGCAGCGCAGUACCAGUCAGCCUCUGCAAUGCACAGUAUACUGGCGGUGGCGCUGGCAGCAAUUGGCUCUCCUAAUGCCUACCCCGAGGGAUAUAAAAUGAUUUUUGUUUGGAAGCUACACACAGCAAUUGUACGCAGCAACAGCAACAGUGGAACUCGCAGCUUGGAUGUCAGGCCAGCCUCUACUGCUGGCACAGUGACUGGGGGUCAAUUCCAAUGAUUGUAUAAAAACGUCAAAUGCAUAUGAGAGCAUUACUAAUGAUUGCGCUUGGUAUAGUGGAAAAAUGUUCUAGUGAACAUUCAGCUACAAGUGAGAAUGAAGCUUGAAUAACGAAGGAAGUUUGUCCGUUAAAUUAUAAAAACCUGAUACAGGUAUACCUCGAUUUACUGGUACUUCGGUUUUAUGUACAUUUUUAUGGUAAAAUUUUUAAUAUCCAAUCAGUAGGCGGAUCACUUCGUAACAUAUUAUUUUAUGGAGCGCCAACCCGAUUAGAAAAUUGUAAAAAAUAUAACAAAAUUAUAACAAACCUUGUAAUUCAUAACCCAUUGUGAUAUAAUCUUGUUUAACAUCCUCAAUAUUUUCAAAAUACUAUACCUUCAAAUGGGGUAACUUGCAAAACUUUUCGACUUUGAAGCAAUAUCAUUGAAAAUCUAAGCAUUUGAAACAUCCUGUGAAGCAUCGUGUACGCUAAUUACCCCGAGUAGAAUACUAUGCAGCACUUGGUUUACCAAAAUACGUUGCCACCUAAUCAGGAGGUGCGAAAUACAUGCUUGUUGCAAGUUUCCCCAUCUGUGGGGUAACUUGCAACACAGGACAUGAAGUUAAGUUAGCUAUCAUUAAACAGCACGAACAUUCUAGUGCUUAGUCGUAUUGUAGAUUUUUGAUGAAAUGCAUGAAAAAUGCAUUGUUAAGAUGUACACUAGCCAAUUGACAUAUAAUUUUUCAUGAAAGGAUUGAUAGUUAUUGCAAGCGAGAGUAUAUCGUUUAGCAACAGGUCUCACGUCCCUCAAACACAAAAUAUAUAUAUGAUUCUCUUGACUUAGCACUCAUUACAAAAUGUCAACAAUGAUUAUUGUCAUUUCUUGAAAAGGUAGAGUGAGUCAUCUUCAAGUAGUUUUCAGUUUGAAGUGGUGUUUGGCAAUUUCAGCUAAAUUAACAUGAUUGAAACACACCUAUUCUACUUUGUAAAUUUCAAACUCGCUAAUUUGGGUAUUAAACUGAAAUAAUUUACUCCAUAUAGGUUCAGAGUUGAUAUUGGUGGUUGUCGAAUAUAAUAAUGAUUUUUUGCACUACUUAGUCGAUAAGUUUAUUAAACUUUUAUCGUUUAGCUAAGCUUACUAUUAGGUACCCUAACUGCAAGCAAGGUCAUCAGACUUAUCGCACUUACCAUUAGGGAGAGUUCAAGCACGAUUUUCAUACUUGUUUUUUAUGGCAUAAAAUGAGCAAUCCGUUUUAACAGUGUAGCUAAACCAUAAACAAAGAAACAAAGCUAAUUUUUAUACUAAAUCGAUAUUUGAUACACAUAAUCUUUAUAACCGAAAUAGUAGGACAUACUAGUUUUCAUUAUUAUUAGGAAAUGCUUCACAUUUAGUGUAUGUCAUCGUGUUGCAAGUUACACCGCUGUUGCAAGUCACCCCGUUUGACGGUAACUCAAUUAUAUCACAAUAUGUUAUAAAUGUUGUUUGAUAACUCAUUGUAUUAUAAUUACGAUUCGAGUCUUCGACAUUUAGAAAAUGAAGUUAUAAAAUUGUAUCAAGAUUUGAUAGAAACUAGUAAUCUUGAGGAUCAAAUUCAAAUCACAUUAUGUUAUAAUUUUGAUCUAAUUAUAACAACAUAGGUUGAUUAGACCAGUGUACUUUUUGGUACAAUUUUGGUCAUUUUAAUAUCAUCUUGCAUCUAGUUUAUAACAUAAUAAGUUAUAGAAAAAUAUUUUAACAUCAUAACAAAAUAUGACAUAAACUCGAUAAAAUUUUCUAGUCAGUAAAGCUUACCUCAUGACAUACUUAGUUUCAUAUAUUAACCCUAAUCUCAUACAUACUUCCCUUUCUAAGAUCAUUUUUUUAUAAAUAUCUCUCGCUUUGUCGAUGAUCACGAUGAGCAGAUAAUAUGGGGUGAUUCUCUGGCAAUAUUUUUUCACAGAUUCCUUAACCCUUCAGAACGCGCGCCGUUGUGAAAAGUACAACACCACCAAAAAAUCUCGCUCUUCGUAUACAAGGCGAGCUCGGUGCAGUUUCAGUAUCGAUAAGGCGUGCGUCCUGAAAGGUUAACAUUGACCAGAUUUUUGACCGAUGCAUGCAAACUGCCCAUUCAUCAGACUUUUUCGCAAAGCUUCUUUAAACAUUUCUUAUGAUUUAAUCACCGAGAAUUGUAAUAUAUUCCCAAUAUUUUUGGUCGAUGCCUUAUACUAUCUUGGUGUGUGAUGAAUUCUGAAGGAAUCUCUGAAGGAACCGCUUGAGCAAUUCCUGAAGGAACCGCUUGAGCAAUUCAUAAAGGAACUGCUGGAUCAACUUCUGAAACAAUCCAUUUAACAAGUUUUGAUGAUAUCCCUGCUGAAAUUUGAAAUAAUUCUUGGAAUAUUGACAACGUCUCUAAACAUAUUUCCAAAAAUAUCGCUGAAGAGAUUUCAGAAGGAAGUAAAAAAAUCUGAACAAAAUUCCAAAAGAAUUUCUUAAAAAAAACAGUAAUAUUUAAUAAUCCAUAGAUGGAAUAUCUGUAGAAAUUCCAGAAGGAAUACCUCAAGAAACACCAAGAAACUUCUGGUUGAAUACCUAACAAAACCUCUACAGAUAUUUUUAAAAUCCUGAAGAAAUACUCUAAAAUCCCAAGCAUCCCCCCUAUUUUUAAUGCACUCAUAGAGCAAUCCAUUAAUAAAUUCGUAGAAGUACGCUUGAAGGAAAUUCUUCUCGGAACUUCUGAUGAAAUCUUUGUGAAAAUUUCUGCAGGAAUCUCUGCAAGAAUGUUUUCCAGCCUUUCCAUAAGAAUCCGUAUAAGAAUCUCAGAAAGAAUCUGUAGAAAAAAAUCUGAAGGAAUUCUUGCAGAGAAAUCCUUCUAAAACUUUUUUAAGAAAUUCGUGGAUCAAUUUCUGGAAGACAAAUGUUUUGAAGGUAUAUCUAAAAGAAUGUGAAGAAAUCCUGGGAUCUUCCUCAAUAAUCUCUUGUAGAAUUUCUAAAGCAAUCACCGGAGAAAAUUUUUUAGAAAGCUUCUGAGAAAAUUUUGAAAGAGUUCUGAAUUUAUAAUUCUCAAUGUAUCCGAUAAACAAUUACUAAAAAAAUCCAUGGAGUAUUUUUGAGAAUGUUUAUAGAAGGUUUUAAAGAUGAAUGCUUUUUAAAUUUUCUAGGGGAAUCUCUAUGAAAAGAAAAACUUGAAGACAUGUGAAGACACAUUUCUGGAACAAUCUAUGCAAUAUUUUUUAAAGGAAUUUUUGAAGCAUUUUCUAAAGGAGCCAUGCAACAUUUUUAGAAGCUAUCUGUGCAAGAAUUUCUGAAGGAGUUCUUGUAGAAAUUUCUGGAGGACAUUCUAUAGUCUUAAGGAAUCCCUAGAAGAUUUUGUGAAAGAUUUUCUGAUUUAAUUUCUUAAGGAUUUCCUGAAUGUUUUUUAAAGUACAUCUACAAUGAGUUUCCAAAAUGUCCCUGAAAUAUUUUUUUUUUAAACUCGUGAAUGAUUUUUCAAAUGAAUCGUAGGAUUUCAGCAAGGAUUCAUGAAAGAACUAUCGAAAAUCUGUGGAAGUUUUAUUUUAGUAAUCUUUGAAGAAAUUUGUAAAGAAAUUUCUAGAGGAAAAUCUGAAGAUAUUUCUGAAGAAACUAUUAGUCGAAUUUAUGAAAGAUAGGGAGCCCCAAGGGUAAUUUUAAUCCUUGCAAAAAAUUCCCACCCUACGAUGUUUGGUUCUUCAUAUUUGUGCUCUUGAAAAUUGGAGGUGCGGCUUUGUCAUAUUUUCACCUUGAAAAGAGUCCCUGGAGGAAUUUCUAAAGACAGAAUUUCUGACAAAAAUUCCAAUUUUCAAAAACCCUGGUGUUAUUUCUAAAGCAAACCCCGGAGAAAGUUUUGAAAUAAAUCCUUGAAAGGUCGUUUUAGAGAAUGUAUAAAGUAAUUUCCAAAGGAUUUUUCAGAAAAAGAACAUCUACAAAAGUCCCGGAAAAAAUGGGUAAAUUUCUAAAGGAUUUUCUAAAGAAAUCCCUGGAAGAAUUUCUGAAGAAUCUCAUACACAACUCUUUGUGAAACUUCUGGAAGAAUCUCUAGUAGAAUUUCUGGGAAAAUUGGAAGUUGCUGUGGGAAAUUCUAGUCGAAUCCUUUCUGAAGUAACCCCAGUAUAAAUUUUUGAAGGAAUUUUUGAAAAACUUUCUGAAAAACUUUGGAAUAGCUUCUGAAGGCAUCACUGAAAGUUUCAUUAAAAAAAAAAUCUGGAGAUAUUUGUAAAUGAAUGUCUAAAGGAAUUUAUGAACGUAUUUUUAAAAGCAUUCCUGGAGGAAUUCCUGCUCAAAUUCAAGGAUAGUUUAUGAAAAAGAAUUGGUCAAUUUCAGAAGUAAGUCUUGCAAGAUGCGUUGAAAGAAUUCUUUGUGGAAUCUCUGAAGAAAAUUUCCGAACGAAUUCAUUGAAGAUUUUUUAAAGAAUCCGUGAGGGAAUUGUUUGAAUACUCGGACAAAUUUCCUAGAGAUUUUUUUAGAAAGAUUUUUUUAUAAGAAUUUCAAGAGACAUUUUUGAUAGAUUUUGUUGAAGAAUUUCCAAUAUAUUCUCCAAACGGACGCCCAGAAAAACUUCUGAGUAAAUAUCCAGAAGAAUUUCAUAAGUAACACUUGAGCAAACUUCACGAACAAUCUCUGAAAUAAUUUGUGAAAAAUCAUGUAGGAAUUGGUGAAGCAAUUCCUGCCAAAUUGUGUAAAAUAAUUCUUCGUGACGCUUCUGGCGGAACGCAUGGAAGAAUUACUGAAACAACCUGUUUCGUGAUUAUUUGAUUUGGAAAAUUCUGGGUUCACUUACUUUUAUUUAUCAUGGUAAAAUUGCAACAGACGGAGACCGAGCCGAUAACGCUACAAACCUACACUACUCGUACAGAAUGAUCGUUCGGAAAAUACGGCACAACCAGUAAUUAUGCUCUAUCUAGUGCUUGUCACGAAUCUCUAAAUUUCCGAAGGAACCCCUUAAGAAAUUUUUCCAGGAUCCCUUCCUGGAAGAAUUUUAUGAGAAUUCGUGAAGGAAAAGUAUUGAAGCAAUUCGUAAAGGGAUUCCAGAGUAAAUAAAUCCAUGGAGACAUUUUCGAAGGAAUCCCUCAAAGAACUUUUGAACUUUUAGAUUUUUUUUGGGACAUUUAUCCAACCAUUUAACCAAUUUCACCACGGGCCUCGGCAUUGGUACAAUUUCGCUUCAUGAAAUCCAAAAAUUAUAACGGAAUUGGACUCAGGGCGAACUUAUCACCUAUCAUUUUUUCGUAUAACAGUAAAAGCUGAACGCUAAGCUGUGUAGCCCACAAUUUCCCAUUCAGCACAUGCAGCAUGUUAGUCUGUUAGAUAUGACGGCUAUUCCAAAUCAGUUUUGAUGAUUAAUUUGAUGCAGUUUACUUUCCAAAAAUCCUGAAUUUAUAUGUUUUAGAUGGAUUUAUUUUUUCCUCUGCAGAUUAAAUCCCGGAUGGCGCGGUCCCAUUUUUUUUAAUUUUCAUUCAUAGCGCUAGAAUUCCUAUGAAUACGAUUGCAUUCAUUAUUUAAACUACAUUGAUGAUAAUCAGUACUUAAUUUGUGAGCUAUGCUGCUGUAUUCUGUUCCAUUCGCAUCACACAAUCGGAAAAGGCAUGUCGAUGUUUACUAUAGGUACAUUCAUACACGGAAUAACAACCGCGAAGAGGGAACCCAGCAGCAGAACAACGUUCCGCGCCAGGAGGGGAAAGCGGAUUAAGGUGAAUCAAAAUUAGUCGGGAUUAAAAUUACGUGCACUUAUACACAUCGCGCCUGCACAGUCGUCGUCGUCGCCGCCGCACAUGAACCGUGUCGUUGUGAUGAUUGAGACGAGACGAGGAAAAUCUGCAGGAUCAGAUGAACGGCGGAAGCGGCGUAGCGAUGGCGAGGAGUUCCCGGGGAGGAAUCUUCGAAUGAUCCUAAUGGAUGAAGCUCGUUGUUGGCAUGGACGACGACGGGACAACAGCGCAGCAACAACGCAACGGUGGAAGAACACUUGAAGUGAGGUUGAUUCGUGCGUGUUUUAUUGAAAAGGAAUUAUCCUUCGAUAAACACAUGCCACAGAGCGCAUCGUUGUCGUUGGUUCCGUUGGUUGGUCGUGCCAAAAGGGAGAGGAUCUUUUCGGAGCUGAAGGCACGAACAUUAGGGAUUCAUCUAAAUCGUGUGUAAGUUUGCUGUUUGGUGUGCUCUGUUUUCGGUUUACUCGGUACGGAAAACUGAGAACGUUACUUGCGGAAGGGUUGCAUUUGGAGGGGUUUGUUGGAAAAUCAUCAGAGUCUUGGGUAUCAAUAGCAAAUCAACAAAUUAAUGAUUUUACAUAAAUGGGAAAAUUGUUACUUAUAUUUCGUCAAUACAUUUCCAACAAAAUAUCUAGUCCAGACGCCGAGGAUGUUCCCACGGAAGAUUCAAAGAGAAUUUUCUUGAGGAAACCUCUUGAGAAGUUGCUGAAUGAGUUACAUUUAAACGUAAAAGCUAGGGAAGUUAGAACCUAUUCAAUAUUUUUUUAACAAAAUCUGGACAAAAGUUCAAAGAGGAAUGGAAAUUCAAAAGUAAUGUUUGAGCUUGAGCUUGAGCUUGAUUGCCCACCCGUGGAAGCUACUCCAGUACCGCCAGACCAGCAAUACUCACACAGGAAACCAAUGAGAUAUCUGCCGGGAUCAAGCAGGCAUCUUCAGUGUGUAAGUGUUGGUGAUCUUCUAUUUUUAAGGACAAACGUCUUGAAAUCCCGGUUCAACGGUGCAUCAAAACUUCAGACGCACAAAUCUCAAGAAGCAAGCUUCAAACAACAAUGCAUUUUAUUAUUCUGUUCUUGCUCACUUGUAAUAAGCUUAAAAGGAAGCUCUGGUGCGCUGGUUUUGUUUACGAAGAGAUUUGUGCCUUCAAAAUCGUGAGUAGGUGCCAAAGUCGGCCAUUGUGGCGGCCAUAUUGGGAUUCUAACAAGUCUGUCCUUAAGCGACAGUGGCACCUGUCACGUCAGGUUGUAGGUCAGUGUGGGGAAUGGGAAGGAAGUGAUGAUUGCUAUCGUUCGUAUCCACAGCAAACCGAAUAUACCUCUACGUCUGCAUAAAUUCUUGUGGAUGGUUGGCGAUGAGUUCACUCAUUGGUGCGUGGAUGUCAGGUUCGGCCCAUUCGACAAAGUGGAGUUUGUGAUAUGAUAAUUUUGAAAUAGUAGUCGUGGCAUGCCAACUUCGGCAAGCCGAAAUCGCAAUAAGUUGCCGAAAGUGACGUCAUGUUUCAGAAGCUGCGAACAUAUUUUCUGGCGAACAUGACGACGUGAUCAGCUGAUCGGUUUGUUUACAUAUUUUUGGCGACAAAUUGAUUGAUUGAUUGAUUUGUCUUUAUUAGAGAGACUUUCAGCCCUUGACUGGUUCGUCUCUAGAUUUGGCGACAAAUACAAUGUCCAUUACCUAUGUGGAACCUCUGUGAACUACAUAAACUCAUACUUUAUCAUGUGUCAAUGAGAAGGCCUCUCACAACUAUUCCUAUGAAAACUUCAUGAUCUAAGGGAAGGCAAACCUUGACUUCAGAGAACCAUAUAUGGACUUCAAUUAGAGCUAUUCGCACGUGAAAAACAACGACUAGCUUCAGAAACAAAUACUACAUUGAACAGGAGUUAAUCAAUUUCUUGAAUAGAUUCCUGAAUACCCGAGAUUGCCUGGUUGAAGUCUGGCCUUGAGUUCUAUGAGCUGUUGAUGAAGCCAAGGGAUGAUUUCGCUUAGGUCAUCAAAUUUGCCUAGGAAUAGUUGUGAGAGGCCUUCUCAUUGACACGAUAAACUAUGAGUUAAGUGCACAGAGCCUUCACAUAGGUAGCAAAUUCAACUAUUAUUAGGCAACGGAAUAUAAAGAAAUUCCCAUUGAAAUACUUCGUUAAGAAGAAAGUAAUAGUGGUGCAAACCGUACCCACUGGCCUUACUCCGUCCAGAAGUCCAAGAAAAUUUUGAUUCUAUAUAUUUCCAAAACUAGGGCGUUGUGCGAGUAUGUAUUCAAAAUUUGGUCAAAUCUGUUAAAAAAUAGGCUGUUGGCGAUUUUUUGAGCUUUUAUUUUACAGCUGGGUACAAACAGGUUAACCCAAUAGCAGGCGCAACUAGUGGCAACCAUCUCACUUUUUAGUUAUACACCCAAGAGUUCUCGGCUAAGUUGUAAGUUUAUACAAAAUAAACAUUUUCUCUUAGACGUCAAAAUUCCAUAGCCUACUGUUUUGAAAAUAAAAUUUUCAAAAACCAGUUAGCAUAUCUUGAUAGUUUUAUAUGAAAGUAAAAAAAAUCGAAAAUAUGAUGUAAUCUUUAAAUUUUAAUAUCUCCUUAAAGCGUUAAAAUAGCAACUACAAAGUUUCAGUAGCUAAAAAUCAUUUUCACGACGCGAUUGAUGUGCAGCGAAAAUGAUGUUAUAUCACAAGAUUUUUUUUUUGCGGUGUAUUGGAGUUCCCUCUGUGAUUUUUCUAAAGAACUUCUGGACACUUUUCUUCAGAGAUUCUCCAAGAAUUUCCCUUUCAUACCUAUUCAACAAUUCGGCGAAUUCUCAACAAAUGUCUUCUGUGAUUUCCUUAAAAAUCAUGAAUGAAACUAGUUUAAAAAAGUCUAAAAGAAUUAUUGAAGGAAUACCCUAUAAGGAAUUUCUAAAAAAUAAAAAAAUAACUCCAUUGAAAAUACUAGAGGAAAGUCCUAGACAAACCUCAGAAAGAAGUCUUUGAGGAAUCUCAGAAAAAUCUUCUGGAGUCAUCACCGAAGAAAUUUUUCGAGGGAUUACAGAUAUAGCUUGUAAGAUAAUUUAAGAGGGAUCCCUACGGUUUCAGAAGAAAUUCAUGGAUAGAUCCCAAGAAUAAUUCUUGUGAAAUACUCAACAGAAUCUUCAGGGAUUUCUCCCCUCGGAAUUUCGUCUUUAGUUCUUUGUUUUUUUUUACGAAUUUGUUCUGGAAUUCCUACCUUGAGAUCACUCAAGAAAUCGAUUCUGUUUUUUUAAAGAAUAUUUUGUGCUAUUCCUCAAUGAGUUUCUUGUGAGAUAUUUUCAGGCAUCUUGGUUUUCCGACAUUCUAAGACUUGGGCAAUUACGCUUACGAGUUUUAAGGGGUUAUUAUCUUGCAACGCUCAUAAAUUCCCUGAUAUCCAUAAGCUGCAUAGCCCCUAAUCGCCCAGUUCGAUUUCAGAAACUCACCUGAAACAUCUUUGGCCUUUGAGAGUUCUGUAAGUUUCAGGAAUGUUCAAGGUUUCAUAGUGGUUUUUGUAGGUUUUAUUGCUUUUCAGAACAUCUUGAGAGAAGUUUCAGAAGGUUUCAAUAGUUUCCGGGGAGAUUAUAGAAGGGUUUCACCAAAGAACUUAAGGGACCUGGAAGUUUCAGCAGGUUCCAAGGGUGUUUUAAGGAGUUCUGAGGGGAUUCAGGUGGAUUUCAGGGAGUUUAGAGGGAACAUCAGUGAAUUUUAGAGUAAGGAUUCCAUGAGAAUUUCUCAAAUGUACCAGGGGAGUAUCAAAGGGUGCCAUGGAGUAAGAUUUCAAGCAGUUUCAAGAGGUAUCAAGAGGAUCUUAUCCCUCAUCUGUAGAGCCUUUUAACCACUGCGUCCAUUAUUUAGGAAUAUUGUGGUAUGACCCAUAUUUAUUUUGGUGCUAGUCAAGUAUCCUGUCACAAUUGAGCUGUGAUGGACAAUGGUUGAUGUAACACCUGAUCCCAACUAGGCACAACUCGUUUUAUAAAGUUUAUUACCCUGUUGGGAUUACUUCUCCAAAUUUCCAAGGGUUCUAGAAACCCUUUACCAAAUAUCGCCAAUCUGUGAUGGUACAGCACUCCGCAGUUGCAGAGUAAAUGCUCGGCAGUUUCGUUUUCCGUUUGACAGAAACGACACUCGGAGGAUUGGAUUUUUCCAAUCUUACUUCGAUGAUAUUUACUCGGGCAGUGGCCAUUCAUCAGACCAGUAAUUACCCUGAGAUCUCUUUUGUUUAGAUUCAGUAUGGACCUGGCUUUUUCUGCACUGGGUUUUAUGAACCUUUUUGCUUGCUUGGAUGUAUCCGUGGCAUUCCAAUUAGAUUCUACCGUGGGCAUUUCCCAAGUUUUUAGUUUCAUCCGAAGAGCACACUCAGGAACUCCACAGAAAGGUUCAGGGCCUACAAAGCUUGAUGCCGCACCCUGUCUAGCUAAAUUGUCGGCGUUUUCAUUUCCCAGAAUUCCACAAUGACCGGGCACCCAGUAUAAAGUUACCUCGUUCCUACUGGCCAAUUGCUUCAGAGAAAUAAUGCAUUCCCACACUAGCUUUGAUUGACACGUGAAAGCUUUUAGCGCAUUUAGAGCCGCCUGACUGUCCGAAAAAAUACAGAUCUUGGCAAACCUAUAAUUUCUUUUCAGACAAAUGUUGGCACACUCUAGAAUGGCUUGAACUUCCGCUUGAAAUACAGAGGGACUGCAUCCCAUUGGUAUAGCCUUACUGAUACCGGGGCCAAAAACACCAGCUCCAGUAUUUUCUCCCAUCUUGGACCCAUCAGUAUAAAAUACAAUAGAACCUGGACGUAAACUUGGCCCACCAGCAUCCCAAACAUAGCGACAUGGUUUCACCACUUUGAAGGGAACAUCAUAGUUGGUCUUCGUUAUCAUCCAAUCUUCUACUGUGUUUAUGUCCAUGUUUAAUUUGAAGUCUUUGAUGAUCCUCAAAUGUCCAGCAAGAUCCCCGUCUAGGACUUUAUUGUAACGUAUAAACUGCAGGGCUCUUUUUGCCGCUUGUAGUUUAACAAAUUGAUGCAAUGGCAGUAAAUUAAGAAGGGCAUCCAAAGCAACUGAUGGAGUGCUUUUCAUUGCUCCUGUCAUAGAUAUACAUGCAAGUCUUUGUAACUUACUUAGCUUCUUUUGACAGGUUACCUCAUUUGUUUUGGGCCACCAAACAAGUGAAGCAUAAGUAAUCUUAGGCCGGACUAUUGCAGCAUAGAUCCAGUGAAUCAUGUUAGGUCUAAGACCCCAGGUUUUUCCUAAGGCUUUGCUGCAAACCCAAAGGGCAUUGGUACCCUUGGUUAAAACAUUGUUUAAAUGAGAAUUCCAAUUCAGUCUUUUGUCCAAAGUUACCCCAAGAUGUUUAACUUCUUCUGAGAACUGAAUUUGAACUCCAUCUAAAGAAGGUUCAGUAAGAUUUAUUUUUAACCUUCUAGUAAAAGGUACAAUUACAGUUUUUGAAGGGUUUACGUUUAAUCCCUCCUCUCGGCACCAUGUGAUGGUAACAUUCAACGCAGAUUGUAGCCGGCUAGAUAUAGUGUCGUCAUAUUUUCCACGUAUCAGAAUAGCUACAUCAUCUGCGUAUCCAAUAACCUCAAAGCCUUGAUUGAUGAGUUUUUUAAGGAGUUCGUCCACUACCAAAGACCACAAUAAGGGCGAUAGUACUCCUCCUUGAGGACAGCCCUUCACAGAUCUUACUGAUAGUUGCGCACCUCCAAGAACGGAAGAGAUCUCUCGAUGUCUAAGCAUCGAUAUUAUCCAUUCAAUAAUGCAUUUAUCCAAGCCCCUUGCUUCCAUUUCAGAACGCAUUGAGCUGUAGGAUGCGUUAUCGAAUGCUCCUUCAAUGUCGAGAAAAGCAACCACGGCUAUUUCCUUGGCUUGAAACGAUUUCUCAAUUUUGCCGACUAGCGACUGUAGCGCUGUUAUAGUAGAUUUGCCUGUUUGAUAAGCAAAUUGAAACUUGCUUAGAGGCAUUUCUACUAAGCUGGUAGACUUGACAAAGUCAUCCACUAUUUUCUCCAUGGUCUUUAACAGAACACAAGAAAGGCUUAUGGGUCUGAAGGCUUUUGGAGUUGUUUUGUCCCGCUUGCCAGCUUUUGGGAUAAAAACAACACGAACCUUCCGCCAUGCCUUAGGUAUGUAAGCUAAAGUAAUACUGGCUCUGAAUAUUUCGGUUAAGAGCGGACAAAUCGCCUCUUUUCCAUGUUGAAGUAAAGCUGGGAAAAUUCCAUCUUUCCCGGCAGAUUUGAAAGGUUGAAAAGAACUCAAUGCCCAUUCGACCCUCGACGGUGUGAAGAUUUCACAAGCUUUUUGAUAGGCAUUGGUCGACCACGCAUGUCUUGCCUUAUCCGAGUCCUGUUCUUCAUCCGAAUAAGGAAUCGAUCCUGGGAAGUGAGUUCUCAUCAUUACUUCCAAUGUUUCAGAAGAAUCAACAGUAAAACUGCCAUCUUCCUUUUUAAGACUUCCAAGACCAUUUGAAUGGUCUUUCGAAAGGACUUUAUAAAGCCUUGCAGCCGUAGGAGCGUUAUUGAUGUCUUCAGAUACCCGUCUCCAGUCCUUGCGUUUGACUAGUAUCAAUUCUCUGUUGUAUUCUGUAAGGGCUUGUUUAUACUGAACCCAAUCAGAUGUAACUUUUGCUCUAUUGAACAACCGUCUUGAUUUUUUCCUCAGAUCUGCCAGCUUAUCAUUCCACCAAGGGACAUCCCUGUUGGAUGACCUCUGUCGGAUUGGGCAACUAGCAUGAUAUGAAGAAAUCAUUUUAUCAAUAAUCUCAUCAGAGGCAUUUUCCAACUGUGAAACAGACAAGAUCUGCUCACUCUUAUAUGGCUAACAGUACGUUUAGGGAAGAUUUGUGGAAUGGUGGGUUCUGAAAACCUUCCUGAAACGCCCCUGAAGACCCCUGAAAUUACGCUGAAAUUUUUCCCAGCAAAUGCUUUUAAGCUACCUGAAAUACUCCUUAAGGACAAACGUCUUGAAAUCCCGCUUCAACAGUGCAUCAGAACUUCAAACACAAAAAUCUCAAGAAGCAAACUUCACACAAUAAUUUAUUUCAUUAUUCUGUUCUUGCUCACUCGUUAUUAGCUUAAAAUAAGAAGAUUGAUUGAUUUGUCUUUAUUAGAGAGACUUUCAGCCCUUGGCUGGUUCGUCUCUUAAAAUAAGAAGAUCAGGUGUGCUGGUUUUGUUUACGAAGAAAUUUUUGCCCUCAAAAUCGCGAGUAGGUGCCAAAGUCAACCAUUGUGGCCGCCAUUUUGGGAUUCUAACAAGUCUGUCCUUAACCUGCAACUCCACGGAGACUACUCUUAAUUAUCUUGGGUUCCCCUUUUACCUACCUUUGACCCAUCAUUAAACUUCCGUGAGAACUCCUUAUGUUGUGAAAACCAUGAGAUCCCCCGCUUCUCUGAUUCUUCUUACAUCUCUUUCUUUUCAAUCUCUUUGCGACCUCUUCCUGCCUCUCACUCUUAGGCUCUUUAAGACUACCCGUUCGUAAACUAUGUUGAUUUUUAGGGGAGAUUGGUCAAAGUCUACGCUCCAUAGACGUUUCAAACAUUUCGUUUGGAUAAAGGUUUACGAGGGGAAGAGGGGGUCUGAGAUGACCAAAAUUGAGUCUACGUAGUUUAUAGACAUCGUCUAAAUAUUUUAUCUGGAGUCGGACUGGUUUGAUGUUUCGGAGUGACGCGUAUGUCACGGCGAAGACCAAGCUUAACAGACAACAAACCUGAUCCUAAAAAUACUUGCGUAACGUUAUGUUCGAUCGCUCCUGUUUAUUUACACUCUUCAAUUCGAUAAGCAAUCUAUAUAGAUCAGCGGUACAUCAUCAACGCAGUGAACAUUUCAGCUGUUCACGUUUUAUUGCCCUAAGCAAAGACUUUCCGUCCAUGCCCAGCAGCUACAUUUCAUCGAUCCGGCGUACAACCCUUCACAUGAGCGCGUUGAGGUGUUGUCAUGGAUUUGGAAACAAAUCCUUCCAAUCCCGGACGGUAACCGUGCUUCAAAUAAAUCAUACAAUUUCGCUAAAGAACCCGGUGAACGCGUCCUGGCAGACAAUCCGUCUACUCCAUUCGGCGGCAUCGGAUGUAGCAACUUAGUCGUAAGGCAAAACAUAUUUGUCCGCGGAUUACGUGCCGAAGCAGUGAGGAGCUAGGUUGCGUUGAGAUAUCCAAACUCCAUAAUUUGAUGAACCUCUGGAUAGGUCUCAUCACAGUGCUGUGUCGGUUGGCUAUUCCCCCCAUUUGGUCGGAGUUAAAUGGCACCAUUCAUCAUCGAAUCACAUCGAUUCGGUCGGUAUGGAAGCUGCUCAGCCGCUGUUACACAUUGCAAGUGCAGCUGGGGAGCGACAAAAUUUCCAAACGGCCAACAGCCUAUACGAUGAUGGCAGGAAAGCACGCAGGCAUGAAUAUCGGAUUUGGAAUAGCUGCUUUCCGGGAAGUGGCGUCACCGGCCGUACUGGCCAGCCAGCCCCGUAUAGGCAUUCAGGAUUCUGGCUACGUACGGCUAUGGGGCAUGAUGGGUGUUUAGAGUGCGUGUAAAUGCAAAAGGCUUCACGUUUUGGGAGGGUUUGUGUACGGUUGUACAACUGUGUCGUGUGUACAUUAGUAAUAAAUAUAAAAAUUGCUAAUCUGCAAACCAAUGCAUAGAUUUGAAUCCUUGGAACUGUUACUUGGAGUGGGAUAAAACAACUGGGUAAUAUCAUUUCAUUACAGAAUAUGGAAACCAGUUGAAAGUGAUCCUAGGAGAUUUGUCAAGAUUAUGCACCAUGCACUUGAUGACUCGAUUCUGCAAAGAUUGUUCCUGUGAGUGAGUCAGUAGCCGAUUGCAAUAAAGUGCAUUCUGCCUCUUGAAACCUGCAUACAGCAACAAGUGGUAUCUAAAACCUAUAUGUGGGCAACUGAUCAAACCACAUCAUAACAUGUAUCAUAUAUACUCUCCCGGCACUGGGGUUUCACCUACCAUAUCGGUUUAAUAUGCUUUUGAAAGCGACUCAAUCCCACAUAUUACCGUAAGUUAUUAAAAUAUUAGCACCAAACAUCACGGUCAAGUACAGCAUCCUUCUAAAUUCAUCAUUCUCCAAUUAGCGAAAUUAAACCAUAAAUGUAUCCGGCAACAAAUAUUCUCCGCCGCUUGAAAUCUCUCUCCGCCGAUGACCCUAUAGGUCAAUCCCACAGCAGGCACCAGUCAAGUUCCCACAUCACUGGAAAACGGGAUGGAAAUAAAAACAACCCACAGAAAACCCCUCCAGCCAGCGAGAGGCCACUCAAUCAGUCGGACCAGUAGUAGUAGUCAGGCUGGUCAAUGUACUGGUCGGUCAGCGAGAAAAGCCAUAGCCAGGAUAAUUUUGCGGCUUCCGUUCGUUAUCAAAUUAAAUUUCUCCCCCGGGUUACGGGUGACAUUUUUUUUCUUCGCUGGGUUCCAGGUUCGUCCAGGGCCGGAUAUGUUAUGGACUGUAUUGGGCAUUUCCAGCCCAAAAAUUGCCAUUUUUGACUCGAUAUUUAUCAAUUUUAAUGAGAUUUUUCACAUGCGCUGGAUUACGCAAAUCAUUUACUUUUGCAUCAACAUACAACCAUUUUUUCUCACCUAACUUUUGAAAAUGGCGUAUGAAAAAUACCCCAUUUGCUUCUUAAAAAAAUUAUAACUCGAAAACCGUUAGUAGGAAAGGAUAGGGGCAUCUGGGGUAAUACGCACCCCCUUUGUUUUUCAGGGAUUAUCGGUUUUAGAGCUUUGAAACCUUAUCAGUCUAAUAGAACGUCUUAGUAAAUGAGCAUCUGGAAAAUUUUACAUAUCUGCGUUACGUAAUUAGUGAGAAAAAUGAAUAAAAUUGAAAAGCACGAUUCUGAUCUAAUUUUCCCGAUCGUUUGUCGAAUGAUUUGAUGGUGAAAAUCGACCAAACAUCUAAUGCUGUUUUGUUUAUUCAGUUCAUUGAGGGCAAUGCUAAGCAUAGGAAAAAUAACUUAAACAGUUAUGUGUGUAUGUGUGUAUGUACAAUCCAUCUCCCACUGACCGGCAGUGCUUUUAUGGAAGAAAAAUGUCUGCGUCUAUUUUUAACUUUUAUCCAUAGACGCAAACAGUUUUAGUCCUGGAUAUGGAAGGUGAUAGCUCUACUGCACUUCCAACGACCCAUUUCAAGUAUGACAGGGCUUCCACGUACAUCUUGAGGUCGUUUUCUGAAACAGUAAGCCCCGCAUUGAUGCAUCCGAAUAUCAAUUGGAUAUCUGAAAUGCAUUAACACUUCCUGAAUCAAAAAUUUGCAUUUUUGUUUCUGGCGCGUACUUAGGUAUAGUAAAUAUCACAUGUAUGAAUAAAAUGACGUUUUUUUAAUUAGAAAGAUCUCACCAAGUUCUUCAUAGUCUGCCGUGAUAUAGUUGAACUUUUAUUUCUCCAGCGAUGCAGCAACGAUCGAAAUAGGAUUAUUUUCAUUGCCGCGUACACUUAAAACGACGUGGACCGAUCAACCGAGUCAGCGAUGGCACUACGCCGAAACUCCCGAAUAAUGGAUACUACGCUGAAGAAUUACACUUUCACACGAAGAAAAUUGACGGGGUGGCGUAAUACCUGCCAAACCACCAGCGCAAUCUUCAAAUAAAGUUCGUUUUGAGAACGUGCAAAAAAAAAAAUAAAUAACAAGCGGAUUUGACACCCGUUCGCGGCAACGCUUACUCGCCACCCACGUUGUUUUUCUUCUCACUGGUAAGUCAAAAUUCGAUUUUCAAUAACUUAAACAGUUAUCUACGUAAAUUAUAUGUUUUAUACUAUUUUAUUUUUUGCUAUUGAUUGGGGCAAUAUGCACUCCAUUCGUUGGGGCAAAACGCACCUAUAGAAAACAAGCUCUAAUCAUAUCUAUGAGUGCUCUGUAAGUAAUCGCAAACAAAAUUGAGCUAUUGUUUGUCUUAAAACCUUAUAAAACAUGCAUUUUGUCUAAGAAGUAAAAAGAUUUCUAAACUCGACGGUGCAUCUUGCCUCAAUGUUGUUGUGCGUCUUGCCCCUUUGUUUGAGUGCAUCCUGCCCCAUUGUUGUAGUGCAUUUUACCCCGAGCAAGGGUGCAUACUGCCCCGCAUAAACAUACGAAGCCGUAAUGUUAGUCUUUACAAAAAACGUUAUUUUCAAGAGCUGAACUGUAUUAAGGCUGAAAUUUUGUUUGGUUUCUCUUAGAAUGAAAGUAUAUGCAAUGAAUGCAUGCAUUAAACUAAUAAAUUAUUGCCUUUUUAUAUGCAUUUGGACGCAUCUUCCUUAAGUGGUGCGUAUUACCCCAGAAUC